rnacentral:rRNA from 1 species
CCUACGGGAGGCAGCAGUGGGGAAUAUUGCACAAUGGGGGAAACCCUGAUGCAGCGACGCCGCGUGAGUGAAGAAGUAUUUCGGUACGUAAAGCUCUAUCAGCAGGGAAGAAAAUGACGGUACCUGACUAAGAAGCCCCGGCUAACUACGUGCCAGCAGCCGCGGUAAUACGUAGGGGGCAAGCGUUAUCCGGAUUUACUGGGUGUAAAGGGAGCGGAGACGGCAGCGCAAGUCUGGAGUGAAAUCCCAUGGCUUAACCAUGGAACUGCUUUGGAAACUGUGCAGCUAGAGUGCAGGAGAGGUAAGCGGAAUUCCUAGUGUAGCGGUGAAAUGCGUAGAUAUUAGGAGGAACACCAGUGGCGAAGGCGACUUACUGGACUGUAACUGACGUUGAGGCUCGAAAGCGUGGGGAGCAAACAGGAUUAGAUACCCGAGUAGUC